UACGGAGGGUGCAAGCGUUAUCCGGAUUUACUGGGUUUAAAGGGUGUGUAGGCGGAUUAUUAAGUCAGCGGUGAAAUCUCCAGGGCUCAACCCGGAAACUGCUUUUCAUACUGGCAGACUGGAGUGAUGAAGAGGUUUGUGGAAUUCCUGGUGUAACGGUGAAAUGUGUUGAUAUCAGGAGGAACACCCAUGGCGAAGGCAGCAAACUGGUCAUCAACUGACGCUGAGGCGCGAAAGCGUGGGUAGCAAACAGG
rnacentral:rRNA from 1 species